rnacentral:rRNA from 1 species
UACGGAAGGCAGCAGUGGGGAAUAUUGGACAAUGGGCGCAAGCCUGAUCCAGCCAUACCGCGUGGGUGAAGAAGGCCUUCGGGUUGUAAAGCCCUUUUGUUGGGAAAGAAAUCCAGCUGGUUAAUACCCGGUUGGGAUGACGGUACCCAAAGAAUAAGCACCGGCUAACUUCGUGCCAGCAGCCGCGGUAAUACGAAGGGUGCAAGCGUUACUCGGAAUUACUGGGCGUAAAGCGUGCGUAGGUGGUCGUUUAAGUCCGUUGUGAAAGCCCUGGGCUCAACCUGGGAACUGCAGUGGAUACUGGGCGACUAGAAUGUGGUAGAGGGUAGCGGAAUUCCUGGUGUAGCAGUGAAAUGCGUAGAGAUCAGGAGGAACAUCCAUGGGCGAAGGCAGCUACCUGGGACCCAACAUUGACACUGAGGGCACGAAAGCGUGGGGAGCAAACAGGGAUUAGAUACC